GCCGCCAUAACUCAGUUGGUAGAGUGGCUGGCUGUUAACCAGCAUGCCACAGGUUCGAGUCCUGUUGGCGGCG
rfam:Methanofollis liminatans DSM 4140 chromosome, whole genome shotgun sequence.